rnacentral:lncRNA from 1 species
AUUUCCCCACUUUUCUUAUUUACUCUUUGGCGAGUUUUUGAGUUAAAUAUGAAUGAUUAACUAUUGCGAUAUUUGUCUCAAAAUUCACGAAGUUUGGAUCGCAAACCUUAAAUUCUUUUUUGGUUUUGCAUACAUACAUUAAUUUUAAAAAUUGUCUCGAAAUAUACAGACUAUUUUAUUUAUUUUUGAAUAAAAUUCUAAAUUGAAUUGAAAUUGACAUGGCAACUAAGUAAG